GUAUCCAUGGCUGAAUGGUUAAAGCGUCCAACUCAUAAUUGGAGAGUUCAUAGGUUCAAUUCCUACUGGAUGCA
rnacentral:tRNA from 1 species